UAAGGAAUAUUGGUCAAUGGACGCAAGUCUGAACCAGUCAUGCCGCGUGAAGGAUGAAGGUCCUCUGGAUUGUAAACUUCUUUUAUCUGGGACGAAAACGGGAUUUUUAUCUCAAUUGACGGUACCAGAGGAAUAAGCACCGGCUAACUACGUGCCAGCAGCCGCGGUAAGACGUAGGGUGCGAGCGUUGUCCGGAUUUACUGGGCGUAAAGGACGCGUAGGCGGCCCGUUAAGUGUGAAGUGAAAUCUCCAGAGCUCAACUCGGAAACUGCUUCGCAUACUGGCAGGCUAGAGGAAUGCAGAGGUAGCUAGAAUUCCUGGUGUAGCGGUGAAAUGCGUUGAUAUCAGGAGGAAUACCCAUGGCGAAGGCAGGCUACUGGGCAUUAUCUGACGCUGAGGCGUGAAAGCGUGGGUAGCAAACG
rnacentral:rRNA from 1 species